AGUCUCAGCCUCAGGUACUCCAGUGACAAGCAGCAGCACCAGUGCUGAUGAGGGUAGCAGGGAAAACUGGUGAAAUGUGCCGAGGUCUCUCCAGAGGUGGUAGGCGGUUGCGCCAGCUUCACAUCCUGGAUAGGCAGGAACGUUUCCCUAUCAUACUCCUGUCCCGGGUCUCAUGUGUCUCAGUUCAAACAGACACUGCCGUCUAUCUUCAAGCUGCAAUGAAGCUGAGAGCCACAGAAAACACCUGUACCAUGGUUUCAGGGAGGAGUCUCUUCCCUCAGCCGAAAACAGACAGCUUUGCUGGUCAUCUGUUCUCCACUGCGAGGACGCUGCCACUCAGUGUGGAGAGAGGAAGGGGUUCUGCCUAUGGUGCAAGAAGGUCGGACUCGGCAGUUAAUACUCUUGGAUAAUGUAUUUAAGGAUGCUUAAGUUCAUCAUGGGUCCUCUGGAAAUCUCCUACCUUUGUGAGCAAAGAUUACUGCAGGGUGGAAGACAGGUCCAUGAUUGCCCAGGCUGCAGUGCAAGAAGG
rnacentral:lncRNA from 1 species